rnacentral:rRNA from 1 species
AAAGCCUGACGCAGCGACGCCGCGUGCGGGAAGAAGGCCUUCGGGUUGUAAACCGCUUUCAGGAGGGACGAAGCCACUCGGGUUAAUAGCCCAGAGGGUGACGGUACCUCCAGAAGAAGCCCCGGCUAACUACGUGCCAGCAGCCGCGGUAAUACGUAGGGGGCAAGCGUUGUCCGGAUUCAUUGGGCGUAAAGAGCGUGUAGGCGGCCAGGUAGGUCGGUUGUGAAAACUGGAGGCUCAACCUUCAGAGGUCGACCGAAACCAUCUGGCUAGAGUCCGGGAGAGGAGAGUGGAAUUCCUGGUGUAGCGGUGAAAUGCGCAGAUAUCAGGAAGAACACCCGUGGCGAAAGCGGCUCUCUGGAACGGUACUGACGCUGAGACGCGAAAGCGUGGGGAGCGAACAGGAUUAGAUACCCUGGUAGUCCACGCCGUAAACGAUGGGCACUAGGUGUGGGAGGUGUCGACUCCUUCCGUGCCGAAGCUAACGCAUUAAGUGCCCCGCCUGGGGAGUACGGCCGCAAGGCUA